rnacentral:rRNA from 1 species
AGAGUUUGAUCCUGGCUCAGGACGAACGUUGGCGGCGUGCUUAACACAUGCAAGUCGAACGAUUGAGAGGUGAGAGGUGAGAGGUUAGAAAUGAGAGUAAGAAAUGGAUAAUCUGCCUGUAAGACAGGGAUAACGCCGGGAAACCGGUGCUAAUACCGGAUAACCUCUUUGAACCGCAUGGUUUAAAGAGAAAAGGUGGCCUCUUUACAAUGCUACCACUUACAGAUGAAUCCGCGUCCCAUUAGCCAGUUGGUGGGGUAAAGGCCUACCAAAGCAACGAUGGGUAGCCGGCCUGAGAGGGUGACCGGCCACACUGGAACUGAGAUACGGUCCAGACUCCUACGGGAGGCAGCAGUGGGGAAUCUUCGACAAUGGAGGAAACUCUGACCCAGCAAUUCCGCGUGAGGGAAGAAGGUCUUCGGAUUGUAAACCUCUGUCCUUGGGGACGAAAAAAAUGAAGGUACCCUUGGAGGAAGCCCCGGCUAACUACGUGCCAGCAGCCGCGGUAAUACGUAGGGGGCAAGCGUUAUCCGGAAUUAUUGGGCGUAAAGAGUGCGUAGGUGGUUUUGUAAGCGCGGGGUGAAAGGCUAUGGCUCAACCAUAGUAAGCCUUGCGAACUGUAAGACUUGAGUGCAGGAGAGGAAAGCGGAAUUCCUAGUGUAGCGGUGAAAUGCGUAGAUAUUAGGAGGAACACCAGUGGCGAAGGCGACUUUCUGGACUGUAACUGACGCUGAGGCGCGAAAGCGUGGGGAGCAAACAGGAUUAGAUACCCUGGUAGUCCACGCCGUAAACGAUGAGUGCUAGGUGUAGGGGUCUUCAAAGCCCGGUGCCGCAGCUAACGCAUUAAGUGCUCCGCCUGGGGAGUACGCACGCAAGUGUGAAACUCAAAGGAAUUGACGGGGACCCGCACAAGCAGCGGAGCAUGUGGUUUAAUUCGAAGCAACGCGAAGAACCUUACCAGGACUUGACAUCCCUCUGACCGGUCCGUAACGGGACCUUCCCUUCGGGGCAGAGGUGACAGGUGGUGCAUGGUUGUCGUCAGCUCGUGUCGUGAGAUGUUGGGUUAAGUCCCGCAACGAGCGCAACCCUUGUCCUUAGUUGCUAGCGUAAAGUCGGGCACUCUAGGGAGACUGCCGAGGAUAACUCGGAGGAGGGUGGGGAUGACGUCAAAUCAUCAUGCCCCUUAUGUUCUGGGCUACACACGUGCUACAAUGGCUGGUACAACGAGACGCAAGACGCCGAAGUUAAGCAAAUCCCAUAAACCGAUCUCAGUUCGGAUUGUAGGCUGCAACUCGCCUACAUGAAGUUGGAGUUGCUAGUAAUCGCGAAUCAGAAUGUCGCGGUGAAUGCGUUCCCGGGUCUUGUACACACCGCCCGUCA